GAUGAACGCUGGCGGCGUGCCUAAUACAUGCAAGUCGAGCGAACAGACGAGGAGCUUGCUCCUCUGACGUUAGCGGCGGACGGGUGAGUAACACGUGGAUAACCUACCUAUAAGACUGGGAUAACUUCGGGAAACCGGAGCUAAUACCGGAUAAUAUAUUGAACCGCAUGGUUCAAUAGUGAAAGACGGUUUUGCUGUCACUUAUAGAUGGAUCCGCGCCGCAUUAGCUAGUUGGUAAGGUAACGGCUUACCAAGGCAACGAUGCGUAGCCGACCUGAGAGGGUGGUCGGCCACACUGGAACUGAGACACGGUCCAGACUCCUACGGGAGGAAGCAGUAGGGAAUCUUCCGCAAUGGGCGAAAGCCUGACGGAGCAACGCCGCGUGAGUGAUGAAGGUCUUCGGAUCGUAAAACUCUGUUAUUAGGGAAGAACAAAUGUGUAAGUAACUAUGCACGUCUUGACGGUACCUAAUCAGAAAGCCACGGCUAACUACGUG
rnacentral:rRNA from 1 species